GAGGACCUAUGUUUUUCCUGUCGCAU
rnacentral:misc_RNA from 1 species